rnacentral:rRNA from 1 species
UACGUAGGGGGCAAGCGUUGUCCGGAUUUAUUGGGCGUAAAGAGCUCGUAGGCGGUUUGUCGCGUCUGCUGUGAAAACUGGAGGCUCAACCUCCAGCCUGCAGUGGGUACGGGCAAACUAGAGUGCGGUAGGGGGGAUUGGAAUUCCUGGUGUAGCGGUGGAAUGCGCAGAUAUCAGGAGGAACACCGGUGGCGAAGGCGGGUCUCUGGGCCGAAAUUGACGCUGAGGAGCGAAAGCGUGGGGAGCAAACAGG